CUCGCCUUCGGGAUGACGUCAUGAACGUCCGUGUCCCUGACAGGCCACCUGUGGGUUGGUUUCGGCUUUAAAGCAGCUGUUCUCCCCUAGCCCCCGCAGCCACGUCCACUGCGUCUACACCGGGAGAUCGUGCCGAAAUUCCAGACCUGCCUCCCACUCUAGCAGCGCGGCCACUCCUAGGAUAAGACAGACCGCCCGAGAGAGGCAAGUAUUCAAGGGGUGUUUCACAAGAUAGCUUGUCAAACCCCAUCCCUUUCUCCGCGCCCCUGCUCUGCAGCUUGCUUGGUAGCUUUCUGGGGAGCAGCAAUGGGCCGGCAGCAGGGUGGUGAGGGGACUUUCUUCCAGAAAAAAAGUGGAGAGCAAGCCAUCUUUCUCCCGGGCUGUAGCAAUCUGUGCCAGGUAAAAUUUCAGCUAAAGAUCCUGUCCAGCCCCUUCCCCAGAUUAAGGGCUACGAAUUGGAGGAGCGGCUAGCUGGAGCCGAGACUCGCUAAUCCGAACCUGGGCUGCCCGGGAGGCUGGGGGUUGGGGUGGACCGCGGAGUUUGGCAUCGCUGACGGUAAGGUGCACGCCACCAAACUGAAGGGGAGGGAAGGAGGCUCUGGAGCCUGGCAGCAGAGCGCCCCAACCUGGUGCUUGCCAAUUCGAGUUGUGGGGACAUCUAGUUCUCCUAUCCACCCGGGGGUGAAGCCGCUUUGCUGUUUGUCUUGCUCUGUGGGAGUGAGAGAAGCGGCCCCACAAGCCUCGGGAAUAUACGCCCUCGAAACCCAGCCACUCCAAGCCCUCGGUCGCCGCUGCGCUCCUGUACUCCUUGUUUCUUAGAUUCCAGGUGCAGCAGACCUGUUGCGUGAAGAAAAGCGGCCAGAUUCGGCGUUCCACAAGAUCUGUGCACCGAGAGUUCCGGGACUGUGCUUGCAAACACUCUGAAAGCUCAGAACCGACCAGGGAGGGGUGUACGUGGAUGUGGAAAGUGCUGGAAAACAAAUAGGUAAUCAUCUCGGUGCGAAGGGCCCUUCUUUCCACCCUUUGCGAUUGCAGCAAAUGAUCCCAUUAACAUGGGAAGGGAAAUGAAGCGCAGGGAAUCGCUCCCAGGGGAGCCCCAUCUGCUUAAAAAAAAAAAAUCAAAACCGCGACUAGUUCAGAUAGGUUCUCAUCCCGCUUUUCCACCCGUCGGGUUCCUGCCUGAGGUCUGAAUCUGACUGUUGAAAAUCCCUGUAACCCCUCUCCAGCGAAUCCAAUAUUCCAGUUUCAGCAUCAGGAACUGGAUAGCGCCUAAUUCCCGGAUAGCCUGGGAGGUGUUGGCACUUGACCUCGACCUCCCAGCUACUCGCUACAAUCUCUCAGACACAACCCAGAGGAGGCCAGGAGGUGAGAUAGGGCUUGCAGAGGAAGGAAGGACUUGUCUUCCUCAUUUCUCCAGGAGUUUGUGUUGGUUUCCAGGAGAUCAUUCCAUGUCCCUUUCGCUACAACCAGAGGAAAAAUUUAGCGCCAAGUGCAGGCAGUGUGGGGGAAGAAAAGGCGCGCCUGCACGCGGUGAGCACAGGAGCAAGCGAGACAGUUUAUUGGGAGCUCCAGGCGUUGGUGUUCUGUGAAAACUCGCCGCAUCUGAGUUCUUUGCCUCUCUCUCUCCCUCUCCCUCCCCACAAUCUCCGUACCCCUUGCUGGGAGUGAAUGGAGGAAAAAGCGUGGAAUAGAGAAGAUAUUGAAGCUGAGGUAAGAUGCACAUUUUAUAUGGGCGCCAACCUUUGGGUAUAGAUUAAAUUUGCCCAAAAUGAACACCAAGUUUCUUUCUUUCUUUCUUUCUUUUUUAAUCCAAUGGAGCUCCAAAUGCCCUCUGUACGAGGAUCAGAGAUGAUUGUUUUCCCAGGGAUGAAAAAAGCCGCAGAGGGGAAAAAGCUGUCACAAAAGGGCUAACGAAGGUGGGGGAGGAGAAGAGCGGACCCGACGCCCGCACUAGCGUGGUUACCAGGCAACCAACUGCAAGCCCCUGCCUCCAGUUGCCUUGGUUACAGUGAGUGGAGGGGCUUUGGCCACUGAUUAUUCAUAAGCACCUUGAUUCUUUAAAAUGUCUCCUAGGAAUCCCUGCCUUCCCCUAGCUGAGUGAAAGUCAUCACUGCUCCCACAUAAUCCACUCCCCCUCCGCCCCCACCGCACACAAGGCCGGGCCAGGGAAAUCCUGGAGGGUGAAUUUUUUCCGUUUAAUUCAAGGCGCCAGGCAAAUACCCUUGCAAUCCUUCCCACCCCACCCCACCCCACCCACGUUUCACAGAAGUAAUUGUAGCCUUCCCUGUAGUUUCUUUGGGAUUCGCAGUUUGGUUCUCAGCACCCCCUGCCCAAUUUCUUUCUUUAUACUGUAGAAGCUGAUUCCUCCCUAUCCCCCAUAGGCUUGUUCUUCAUGGGUUAAACAAGAGGGAAACAGGCAUAUUGUCCAAGGCGGUCUACUGCAGAGAGAUUUUCUCCUUGGUUUGUCAGUCAUCUCCUGCAAACACCUCUUUGCAAGGGAAGGGACCUGGAUUUUGAAUCGCCUCUCCCCACAGACCUCAAAGAAAGCACAGGGAGGUAGAAACACUUUCCUCUUAACAAGCAGUCCCUAGCAUUACUUGCACUUUGUUCAAGAUUCUCUUUUCUUUUUCCCCAGCCUUGGCUUCAUAACUAGCAAACACAGCACUUAGAGCUUCUAAUCCUCCCAUUUUUUACCUUUCCCUUAAUUGACAAAUAUUGACUCCACUUUUGACUUGUCAAUCUCACCUGCCUGUGUUCAUGUGUAACAUCUGGGUGGAAAACCAUUUUACCCAUAAUUUCACUAAAGCAAUCAUAGCAAUCUCAGA
rnacentral:lncRNA from 1 species